UACGAAGGGGGGCUAGCGUUGCUCGGAAUCACUGGGCGUAAAGGGUGCGUAGGCGGCUUUGUAAGUUAGAGGUGAAAGCCCGGAGCUCAACUCCGGAAUUGCCUUUAAGACUGCAUCGCUUGAAUCAUGGAGAGGUGAGUGGAAUUCCGAGUGUAGAGGUGAAAUUCGUAGAUAUUCGGAAGAACACCAGUGGCGAAGGCGACUCACUGGACAUGUAUUGACGCUGAGGUGCGAAAGCGUGGGGAGCAAACAGG
rnacentral:rRNA from 1 species